CGGACUAAUACCGCGUGGUACACCAGUGGGGCAUCCCACUGGUGUUAAAAGGAAGUGAUUCCGGCGGAGGAUGGGCAUGCGGCGCAUUAGCUUGUUGGCGGGGUAACGGCCCACCAAGGCAACGAUGCGUAGGGGUUCUGAGAGGAAGGUCCCCCACACUGGUACUGAGACACGGACUAGACUCCUACGGGAGGCAGCAGUGAGGAAUAUUGGUCAAUGGGCGGGAGCCUGAACCAGCCAAGUCGCGUGAGGGAAGACGGUCCUAUGGAUUGUAAACCUCUUUAGGCGGGGAGCGAUGCCGGGCACGUGUGCCCGGAGGGAGAGUACCCGCAGAAUAAGCAUCGGCUAACUCCGUGCCAGCAGCCGCGGUAAUACGGAGGAUGCGAGCGUUAUCCGGAUUUAUUGGGUUUAAAGGGUGCGUAGGCGGAUUUUUAAGUCAGCGGUAAAAUGUCCGGGCUCAACCCGGGCCGGCCGUUGAAACUGGGGAUCUUGAGUGGGCGAGAAGUAUGCGGAAUGCGUGGUGUAGCGGUGAAAUGCAUAGAUAUCACGCAGAACUCCGAUUGCGAAGGCAGCAUACCGGCGCCCGACUGACGCUGAGGCACGAAAGCGUGGGGAUCGAACAGGAUUAGAUACCCUGGUAGUCCACGCAGUAAACGAU
rnacentral:rRNA from 1 species